rnacentral:SRP_RNA from 2 species
GCUGGGCGUGGUGGCGUGCGCCUGUAGUCCCAGCUACGCGGGAGGCUGAGGCAGAAGAAUUGCUUGAAUCCGGGAGGCGGAGGUUGCAGUUGGCUGAGAUCGUGCCACUGCCCUCCAGCCUGGACGACAGAGCAAGACUCUGUCUCAA